rnacentral:tRNA from 1 species
ACCUGGCUGGCUCAGUAGAGCAUGCGACUCUUGAUCUUGGGGUUGUGAGUUUGAGCCCCACGUUGGGUA